AUUGAACGCUGGCGGCAUGCCUUACACAUGCAAGUCGAACGGCAGCACGGGAGCAAUCCUGGUGGCGAGUGGCGAACGGGUGAGUAAUAUAUCGGAACGUGCCCAGUGAUGGGGGAUAGCCCGGCGAAAGCCGGAUUAAUACCGCAUACGACCUACGGGUGAAAGCAGGGGAUCGCAAGACCUUGCGUCAUUGGAGCGGCCGAUAUCAGAUUAGCUUGNGGUGGGGUAAAAGCCUACCAAGGCGACGAUCUGUAGCUGGUCUGAGAGGACGACCAGCCACACUGGGACUGAGACACGGCCCAGACUCCUACGGAGGCAGCAGUGGGGAAUUUUGGACAAUGGGCGCAAGCCUGAUCCAGCCAU
rnacentral:rRNA from 1 species